ACGGGUGAGUAAUGCCUAGGAAUCUGCCUGGUAGUGGGGGACAACGUUUCGAAAGGAACGCUAAUACCGCAUACGUCCUACGGGAGAAAGCAGGGGACCUUCGGGCCUUGCGCUAUCAGAUGAGCCUAGGUCGGAUUAGCUAGUUGGUGAGGUAAUGGCUCACCAAGGCGACGAUCCGUAACUGGUCUGAGAGGAUGAUCAGUCACACUGGAACUGAGACACGGUCCAGACUCCUACGGGAGGCAGCAGUGGGGAAUAUUGGACAAUGGGCGAAAGCCUGAUCCAGCCAUGCCGCGUGUGUGAAGAAGGUCUUCGGAUUGUAAAGCACUUUAAGUUGGGAGGAAGGGCAGUAAAUUAAUACUUUGCUGUUUUGACGUUACCGACAGAAUAAGCACCGGCUAACUCUGUGCCAGCAGCCGCGGUAAUACAGAGGGUGCAAGCGUUAAUCGGAAUUACUGGGCGUAAAGCGCGCGUAGGUGGUUUGUUAAGUUGGAUGUGAAAGCCCCGGGCUCAACCUGGGAACUGCAUUCAAAACUGACAAGCUAGAGUAUGGUAGAGGGUGGUGGAAUUUCCUGUGUAGCGGU
rnacentral:rRNA from 1 species